UUCUUCAUGACCCAGGCACUCAAGCUAUGAUGCAAUCUUGCCCCCUCCACCGGAGCUCUCCAUUGUAAAGCACCUCAUAAAUUUUGAUGAAUUGCUUGAAGAAUAAAUAAAUGUCAGCAGUUGGUGUACUAAACAAGCGUGGCAUGUUUAAUAAUGAGGAUUCAGAAAGCCAGUGUAAGGAAAAUGGUGAACAUUUGAUACAUUCUUUCUUCUUACCGGGCUCACUGGUUCCAGUGUUCUGCGCUUGCUAAUUGCAUGGAUUUAUAUAUUUUCAGCUUAUUUUCAUUCUCCUUAGUCAUUGGGAAUUCAGGUAAUUAAUCAUUUCUUUAGCAAGAAAAUUAUUUAUGAGUUAAAAUGGUAUACCAUUUUGUGAAGCAAGUACAUUAAUUUGUGUUAUCUUUUACUAUUUGUGAUAAAUUUUUAAUUUCCUAUGUAUCUUGGCUAAAGGCGGAGGAAUUUAAAACGGUAUCAAAAUUGGAAAUUAAAGACAAUUAAUGAAAUGAAGGAUUGGAAGAAGGUAUAUUUAUAUCAAUCAAACUUCUAUGGAUAAUUGGAUAUAACCUUUCUUCUUCCAUUUUGUGCUUGAAUUAUAGAAUUGUAAAUUUUUGCUGUCAAUAUGUUCAUUUUGAUUCAUUUUCAUUGUCGCCUGGUGGACUUAACAAGAGAUGAUAUAGCAAAGGCGAUAUGGUAUCAAAUGAUUCAACACAAUCAGGUGUUCUCGUGGACAUAGAAAACUUCAAACUGUUUGGCUGCAAGCAAGGCAUUGUGGCGGUUUGUAAACAUUUACUCUAUCAGUUCCAUUAUUGAAAGCAUAAAAGCAAGUGGCACUUAACUAUGAUCUGUUGCCAAG